rnacentral:rRNA from 1 species
CCUACGGGAGGCAGCAGUGGGGAAUAUUGCGCAAUGGGCGAAAGCCUGACGCAGCGACGCCGCGUGAGGGAUGAAGGCCUUCGGGUCGUAAACCUCUUUCAGCAGGGAAGAAGCGCAAGUGACGGUACCUGCAGAAGAAGCACCGGCUAACUACGUGCCAGCAGCCGCGGUAAUACGUAGGGUGCAAGCGUUGUCCGGAAUUAUUGGGCGUAAAGAGCUCGUAGGCGGUCUGUCGCGUCUGCUGUGAAAACCUAGGGCUUAACUCUGGGCGUGCAGUGGGUACGGGCAGACUAGAGUGCGGUAGGGGAGACUGGAAUUCCUGGUGUAGCGGUGAAAUGCGCAGAUAUCAGGAGGAACACCGGUGGCGAAGGCGGGUCUCUGGGCCGUAACUGACGCUGAGGAGCGAAAGCAUGGGGAGCGAACAGGAUUAGAUACCCUGGUAGUCCAUGCCGUAAACGUUGGGCGCUAGGUGUGGGGUCCAUUCCACGGAUUCUGCGCCGCAGCUACGCAUAGCGCCCGCCGUCGGGAGGUACGGCCGGCGACGGAACGUAAACGUACGAAAGGAAGUAGUUACGGCGUGAGACGUUGCCGACGGACGACGACGAGGGAGGAGG